UAUCUCGAGUCAUUGUCAAAGCUUUAUUUCAUUUUCCUUUUUAUUAUAUCCUGAACUCCUAAGUGUUCAGGAUGGCUUUUUUUUUCUUUUUUUGGCUUUUCAUGUUUUGUACUCAGUCUGGUACAAACUGAACACAAACCUGAUGAAGCAGUGGACGCAGCUGGAUGAGAGUUCUGGAGGAGGCUGGCAGUAGGUGAGGAGGAGCACCUGGCUGGUUCAGUGGUUGAGC
rnacentral:lncRNA from 1 species